rnacentral:rRNA from 1 species
UACGUAGGGGGCGAGCGUUAUCCGGAUUUACUGGGUGUAAAGGGAGCGUAGACGGCCGUGCAAGUCAGGAGUGAAAACCCGCGGCUCAACUGCGGGACUGCUCUUGAGACUGUAUGGCUGGAGUGCAGGAGAGGUAAGUGGAAUUCCUAGUGUAGCGGUGAAAUGCGUAGAUAUUAGGAGGAACACCAGUGGCGAAGGCGGCUUACUGGACUGUGACUGACGUUGAGGCUCGAAAGCGUGGGGAGCAAACAGG